rnacentral:rRNA from 1 species
CAGUCGCCGCGGUAAUACGUAGGUCCCGAGCGUUGUCCGGAUUUAUUGGGCGUGAAGGGAGCGCAGGCGGUUUAGUAAGUCUGAAGUUAAAGGCAUUGGCUCAACCAACGUAUGCUUUGGAAACUGUUAGACUUGAGUGCAGAAGGGGAGAGUGGAAUUCCAUGUGUAGCGGUGAAAUGCGUAGAUAUAUGGAGGAACACCGGUGGCGAAAGCGGCUCUCUGGUCUGUCACUGACACUGAGGCGCGAAAGCGUGGGGAGCAAAUGGGAUUAGAUACCCCGGUAGUCCCUGUCUCUUAUACA